rnacentral:rRNA from 1 species
GACGAACGCUGGCGGCGUGCUUAACACAUGCAAGUCGAACGGAAAGGCCCUGCUUUUGUGGGGUGCUCGAGUGGCGAACGGGUGAGUAACACGUGAGUAACCUGCCCUUGACUUUGGGAUAACUUCAGGAAACUGGGGCUAAUACCGGAUAGGAGCUCCUGCUGCAUGGUGGGGGUUGGAAAGUUUCGGCGGUUGGGGAUGGACUCGGGGCUUAUCAGCUUGUUGGUGGGGUAGUGGCUUACCAAGGCUUCGACGGGUAGCCGGCCUGAGAGGGGGGUCGGCCACAUUGGGACUGAGGUACGGCCCAGACGCCUACGGGAGGCAGCAGGGGGGAAUAUUGCACAAUGGGCGGAAGCCUGAGGAAGCAACGCCGCGUGCGGGAUGACGGCCUUCGGGUUGUAAACCGCUGUCACCUGUGACGAAGCGUGAGUGACGGUAAUGGGUAAAGAAGCACCGGCUAACUACGUG